CUCAGCGCUGCCCCUCCGCUCCCUGUGAGGAGCUGCAGCCGCCAUCAGGCCUCCCCUCAGCUCCUCUGCUCUGCGCCGAGCCAACACAGGGACCUCAGCCGUUCUUCAUACAUCUUGCCCUCCAGACCCUUCCCCAUUUUCGAAGCUCUCUUUUGGACGGGACAACAGCAGCCCAGGUCAUACCGUUAUCAGAGUUCUGUAUCAUCAAUGAAGAAAAAGUGAUCAUGAAGACUCCAAGGAUAGUAGAGAACUGAUGCACAUCCAGCUGAGGAAGAGCUUCACAAAUUCAUUCUUAGUCCUCUAAUAUGUGAAUUGAGAGGCAGGAUCCAGAUAAGUGAUUCAUUUAAUAUGGUUUCUUCACUUAGUCUUACUACUCUGUGCUCAGCAAUCUUUCCUUUAUAUGCAGUCUCUGAGAUAACUCAUUCUAGGGAUGGCAUUUCAGCAUUACUCAAUAAACACAGAACUUCCCAGAUACUUACAUUAUGUUCCCAAAGAUAGAUAUUUUUCCAGUAAAGCAUUUCAACAUUCUGUUGCCUUUUUAAUGCAUUGUUAUUACAGAUACACUGUUUUCUCUAUCAAAAGACUUGUGCUGGCAAGAGCUGAUAAUAAAGCUUCCAUUGUGUCAUGGAAAACAGUCUUUACUGUGUUCCAGCCAACACUGCUCUCUCCCACAGUCUUUAAGGAGCGCAACAUGGUUCAAAUUGAGAUCUCCUUCUAACAUACGUCCCCGACAGAAACCAAACUUUUUCAGCGAUUCCUGAUGUAGUAUUUUGAGGAAUAUGUGGCAGCAUUUUCUGAAACUGUCUUCAUGAUCAAAAUCCUGUGUGUUGAUUUGAGGGGAAGCUGUUAGCUACUGUUAACUAAAGCUGUGUUAUAGUUUUGGGAUUGGUGGAAAUCUGAUACAAUGCAUUUUAGUGUAAUUUGCUUCAAAACCAGCUCGCAUUUGGUUGAGAAUCACCUGUAUGAUAUUGCAGAAAGGUCUCCCAAAUGAUAAUGAAACAGAAGAGGUUUACUGUACAUUAACAUAUUUGUCAAAACAAUUACGCUGAAUUGAGUGUGAAAGGAAGAGAGAAAUCUAUUAGCACAAAGCAGCUUUUAUUUGGAGAGAAACAUUUCUUCCCGGCUCACAUAGGUUAUUUUUGUCUUUUCCAGCAUAUUGGCAAGUCUCACACUGUGAUUUCCAUGUACAGUUUACAGCAGCUGCCCCAGAAACAAUCACCCAGGAAAGUUAGUGGCUACAGAAACUACCCACUACACCUGGACCACAGCAGAACUUCCCUGCUGACAAGAGCAUCGGUUGCUGAUAAUUUUGAUGUAAAAUACAGAACAAGAUACCUGUAAAUCAAUUCUGAGGAGGACAGUGGUCUCAGAGCUCAUAGGAUUUCCUGACUACACACUGUUUCAGAGCAAUUUCAUUCAGUGUAUGUCUGCACUUCCACUGCAUGUCCCUCAAAUGGAUCAAGCGAAGUUGGAAAGGAGCAAAUCCCUGUGUAAACAUCAAUAUCGUCAAUUAAUUAGGAAACACAGCAAGAUAAAUAAUGAAGCCCCAAGAAAGGUUAACACCACAAAAAGGAAAAAAAAAAAGGAAAAAGAAGAAAGUACUGCAGUUAGCGGAGUGAAGAAACUCUUGAAACACUGUUGUCUGAAACAAAAGCAAGGCACUCUCCCUUAAAACACCUGAUAUAUUCCUGAAUUCUGCCUAGAAAAAGGCAUGUUCACACUGAGAGAGCUGUGAGGAAGGUAGGAGAUUUAUUCUGCAUUAAUUCUUCUUUCACCAUCGUGACCUGUCACUGGCUGCACUCUACGAUGGGUCUGUGCACUGGAGUUGAAAUGAAGGACGGUUUGGUAGGUGACGGGAAUGGGAGAGUAUCACAGUUAAGACUAUCCAUGGAAGACUGAAGCACACCGGCUACAUGAAAUCUCACGUGGGGCUCUGGACCUGCUCCCUCCAUUCACGUCCCACUGAAUAAAUAAACCUUGCCCGACAAAAAGCAAUUUCACUGUACUGUGCUGAACACUCAGUGGAAGGGCCCACUCACAGGGAGCGCCCACGACCCCUUCACUGAUGCUCAGCGCCUGGCAGGCUCUGUCCCUAGGCAGAAGUGAUUUCCCAAGGGACCUUGUGUCUGACACAAGGAGACAAAGGGAACAACUGAGCCGCGGUCGUUCCCGUGUCUCCCACAGACAUUUGUCAGUAAGUCACGCUACACGGAGUCAAGUUUGGAAAACUCUGUCAUAUGGUUGCAUUUGUUUGGAGGGAAGAAGCGCACGUUCCUCUCCAAAACUCUUAUCUGUAUUUUUGCAACAGUCAAGACGUUGCAAACAUCUUGCAAACAUGAAGACCAUUCUAAACAUUAAGGUCGUGACUAUGGAAGCGUUAGGACUGACUCCAAGCCAGGCUUCCAGAUCCACCCAUUUGUGGUACACGGCAGGGUCACGGCCGAGCAGAGUGUGCCGCAAGCCCGUCCUUACAGGUAAAUACGUGAGAUUAGAUAAUGCUCUCAUGGUCUGAGCUGUCAUGCUCAUUUAAUGCUAAGGAACCCAGCAGAUUCCUGUCUGAAAACACAGCUGGACCUCGGUGUUUGCAGAACGACCCUGAGACUCCCUGGGCUGUCCGUGCGGACAACUGCAUAGAAAAGAAGCGGAUCGGUGGUGAGGACACGGUAAAACGACAGAGCAGCGUGAGCACCUGCUUCCCCUGCGAUGGCCAGCCCAGCGAAAAUAAGAGCACUCUCCAAUUUCAGCACAUGCUGUUGAUGCCUUUGAUGGCAAAGAAACACAAACGGAGCAGCUGCAAUGGACUAAAUACAAGGGACACAGCAAAUGCUGCUCAUUGCACUUUAGAACUGAGAAAAGAAGAGUGCAGGACAAACUGUGGAUCCUGCCCCCAACGAGGGACAUGCUAUGGAUUUCCACAGGGGCAGGAUCAGGCCCUCAGGAGCUGCCAUUUCCAGGAAAUCGUGGCUGCAGCCCACGUGAGGUUCACCUGACUGCAGGCUGCUGCCCCACGUCUGCAACCCAAACCCAAAGCACACGGCAUGCUCGGGGUGUGCAGCCGGGGGCUACAGUGCACCCAUCUGUGCCGUUUCCCCAGUGAAGGAGAAGAGGAACGUGGGAAAAUGUCCAUCAAAAUUAAGUUUAUUUCCUCUUAAUUGCAGCAAUUUGUGUUUUGUAAGCAUGUGAUAAAUAACUCCUGUUAAAACACAAAGCCGCAUUGAAAAUAAUGGAGUUUGCAUUAGGAUUUUAAGAACGCCCUUUGCUAAUGAUGUUUAGACACCCACUUGAGUGUGCCAAGCGAGAACCCAACCAAUAGCUGCCAAACCAACUCGUAGCUCUGCUGUGCAGGUAAAUGGGAACCAAACACCAGAUCUCGCUGUAGCAUCACACAGUGCUCCCAUCUUUCUUCUUUUUGAGUAAACAUUAAAAAGUGACAGAAAAAAAAACAAAA